rfam:Lactobacillus bifermentans DSM 20003 NODE_6, whole genome shotgun sequence.
GUCGCAGUAGCUCAGUUGGAUAGGGCAACGGUCUUCUAAACCGUAGGUCGUGGGUUCGAACCCCACCUGCGACA